GUGCUCACUUUGGUAGCACAUAUACUAAAAUUGGAAUGAUAUAGAGAAGAUUAGCAUGGCCCCUGCACAAGGAUGAUAUGCAAAUUACAUAUAUUCCUUACUAGAUU